rnacentral:rRNA from 1 species
UAGAGUUUGAUCCUGGCUCAGAACGAACGCUGGCGGCAGGCCUAACACAUGCAAGUCGAACGCCGUAGCAAUACGGAGUGGCAGACGGGUGAGUAACGCGUGGGAACCUACCUUACGGUCGGGAAUAGCUCAGGGAAACUUGGGGUAAUACCGGAUACGCCCUUACGGGGAAAGAUUUAUCGCCGUUAGAUGGGCCCGCGUCGGAUUAGCUAGUUGGUGGGGUAAUGGCCUACCAAGGCGACGAUCCGUAGCUGGUCUGAGAGGAUGAUCAGCCACACUGGGACUGAGACACGGCCCAGACUCCUACGGGAGGCAGCAGUGGGGAAUAUUGGACAAUGGGCGCAAGCCUGAUCCAGCCAUGCCGCGUGAGUGACGAAGGCCUUAGGGUUGUAAAGCUCUUUUGGCGGGGAAGAUAAUGACGGUACCCGCAGAAUAAGCUCCGGCUAACUUCGUGCCAGCAGCCCCGGUCAA